AUCCUUCCCUCCCCUCCUGGCAAGGCGGCAGCUCAGGCUGGGAAGGGAAACAGCAGAUGAACAGAGGGCAGAGGUUUGCCCCUCGUCCUGGACGCGGACGUCUGGAGGCUGGGGAAACACAGAGUUCCCAGUUUUCCAGGUUGCAAAAAGAGGUGAUGAGGGGAGGCUGUGUGUGAAAAGAAGGGAAGGAACAAGUGACGGCUGCAGGACCAGCGGAUAAACCACUACGCAAACACCGAAACACAGCCAAGGAAUUAAGGGAUAAUUCGUACAGAAAUCGUUAGCUGUGUGCUUCUUGGAAAUGUGUCUGAAGAAUCAGAACAAAGCAUGGAAGGCCAGAGUCCUUGAAGGAGCUCCAAAUGAUAAAGUCUGCCAUUCAUUUUAAACACUGCGUGCAUUGUGGAAACACAGGUCAAUUUGAAGGCAUUUGUCAGAUUUCCAGUUCCCUCUGCUCCUUUGCAAUGGAAAUUUGCAAUCAAAUCCCUGUGCUGGAGUUAGGAUGUCUGCCUUGAUCAGUUUGUAUGACUCUAUGCCCAAAGCACUGGCCAGGCCGUAACACGAAUGGAUGUGUUUGCCAUGGAAAUAAACACUUGGAAUACA